rnacentral:rRNA from 1 species
CCAACCGGGAUUGCCUUAGUAACGGCGAGUGAAGCGGCAAAAGCUCAAAUUUGAAAUCUGGCGUCUUCGACGUCCGAGUUGUAAUUUGAAGAAGGCGACUUUGUAGCUGGUCCUUGUCUAUGUUCCUUGGAACAGGACGUCAUAGAGGGUGAGAAUCCCGUGUGGCGAGGAUCCCAGUUAUUUGUAAAGUGCUUUCGACGAGUCGAGUUGUUUGGGAAUGCAGCUCUAAGUGGGUGGUAAAUUCCAUCUAAAGCUAAAUAUUGGCGAGAGACCGAUAGCGAACAAGUACAGUGAUGGAAAGAUGAAAAGAACUUUGAAAAGAGAGUGAAAAAGUACGUGAAAUUGUUGAAAGGGAAGGGCAUUUGAUCAGACAUGGCGUUUGCUUCGGCUUUCGCUGGGCCAGCAUCAGUUUUAGCGGUUGGAUAAAUCCUCGGGAAUGUGGCUCUGCUUCGGUAGAGUGUUAUAGCCCGUGGGAAUACAGCCAGCUGGGACUGAGGAUUGCGACUUUUGUCAAGGAUGCUGGCGUAAUGGUUAAAUGCCGCCC